AACGUAGGAGACAAACGUUAUCCGGAGUUACUGGGCGUAAAGGGCGUGUAGGUGGUUUCGUAAGUCUGGCGUGAAAUUUUUCGGCUUAACCGGGAAAGGUCGUCGGAUACUGCGGAACUAGAGGACGGUAGAGGCGUGUGGAAUUCCGGGUGUAGUGGUGAAAUGCGUAGAGAUCCGGAGGAACACCAGUGGCGAAGGCGACACGCUGGGCCGUACCUGACACUGAUGCGCGAAAGCCAGGGGAGCGAACGGG
rnacentral:rRNA from 1 species